rnacentral:rRNA from 1 species
GUGCCAGCAGCCGCGGUAAUACGAAGGGGGCUAGCGUUGUUCGGAAUUACUGGGCGUAAAGCGCACGUAGGCGGGUCGUUAAGUCAGGGGUGAAAUCCCAGAGCUCAACUCUGGAACUGCCUUUGAUACUGGCGACCUAGAGUUCGGAAGAGGUUAGUGGAAUUCCCAGUGUAGAGGUGAAAUUCGUAGAUAUUGGGAAGAACACCAGUGGCGAAGGCGGCUAACUGGUCCGAUACUGACGCUGAGGUGCGAAAGCGUGGGGAGCAAACAGGAUUAGAUACCCUCGUAGUCC